CUGCACCUGGGUUGCUGUGUCCAGGGCCAGCGGGUACUGAGGAGGGAGGGAGGGCUCGGUAAAUGUGUAUUGUUCAUAAGAAUAGAUGAAUGAAUCAGCAUGUAACCUAAGGGAUCACUCUCAUGGAUUUCCUUUAAGGCAUUAAUUAAACAUGUUGUCUGGGGAAAAUAAGACACCAUUGUGAAGCCGUGAUGAGGAGCAAGACCAGAGGAGCAAGCCCAGCAAGCUACUCUUCCUCCCAGAAGCUAUCCAGGAUCACUUUGGGCCAGUGGUUUACACAUCUGGGGCAGAAUCACCUAAGAAGUGACUUCCCAAGGAAUGUGCUGGGUGUACACCAAGGUCCCUCCACUCAGGCUUGAAUUUAGACAUCUCCAAGCCCUGAAUGAGCUGCGGAAAUUGUUCAGCCUGCGACUCUGCUUUGCUUGCCCUGCAAGUGUGGACACCAGAUGUGAUGUCUGAAGUUCAGCAGCCAUUGUGUGACCAUAAGGCAGCUCAACACUAAGGAUGGUGAAGUGGAAAGGUGCAGAUGCAACAAUUGUCCUUGACUUUCAUAGAAAUGUCUCAGUGCAUCCAAGACUACUAGAUUCCUGAACAUUUCACCAAUGAGUUUUUUGGGGGUUUAUCUCUUACUCUCUGUCACACAUGUCUUACUAGGGCAUGUAGAGUACUUGCCAAUUUCUGCUCAUCGAGUCCAAUGAAGAUGAUGUCAUCAAUGUAAUGGACAACCAUUAUGUUCUGUAGGAUAAGGUGAUCUGUUUUGUGACACAGAGCAAGAACGAUGUCAUAGCCCACGGGGAAAAUUGUGACUGUGUUCUGCUGUCCUUCCCACUGAAAAGCAAGCAGAUUGAUUCUCUCCAUUAAUGAGGAUCAAGAAGAACGCAUUCAUCAGCUCUCCAGCUGCAGAAGGCCAGAGUCUAUGCUGACCUGAUCCGCAGUGGGCACUACCCCCAGCCAGGCAACUGAGAUGGGGGCUUGCCAGGUGGGUUCUCCACGAGCCCAGGCUGUGUCAAGAAAGUUCUGGCAUCUCCGCCUCAUUGUCAUGUGCAAGUUUCGUAGCCAUCUCUGCAUACUAUUAAGACUUAACUCCCUUGCUAGGAUAUUGAAUGCCAUAUCCCAGGGAAAUAGCCCAUAUCAAUAAAAUCUCCCCAGUUCAGCCUUAUUUCCCACUCCCCUGGUCGUUCACCUCAGGCCCACUGCCAUGUGGCUUCCCCAAUCCCCACGGCAUGUGGUGGCCAGGUCUGCAAUGCCUUGGGUGUGUAAGCUGAUCCCGUGGGAGUAGAGACUGCACCUUCCAGCUUAGGUUGUGGUGAGAACCAAUUCUGAUUAUUGGCCUGGACGUGAUGAGCGGUGAUGGAGGCAGGUCUUAAGCAAAGGACAUGUUGCAAGGCCUCCGCUUCCAGGGAGGCCCCCACAGUCUCCAGACAAGAGGAGGGGCUGCUUCUGUUGACCAGGGGAGUUCAGGGGAAUUUGGAGUUCAAGCUUAUCAGGCUCAUCCACCCACCCAAUGUCCGCAUCCCAGGGUCCUGUUCUUUCCCUGGAGGUAGGGGAGGCUGAUUGACAUCUGUCAGAGCUGCACGUCCAGCCUCCUGUGGCAGCCCUGUCUCCCUUCCAAUCGGCUGCUGAGCCUGAUUUUUCACAGUCUGUCCUGAAGGUGCAGGAGGCUUGAGUAUCCUCAAGACCUGGAGUCUCCUUAAGAGCUCAAGUCUCCAUGGUUUC